CCUACGGGAGGCAGCAGUAGGGAAUUUUCCACAAUGGGCGAAAGCCUGAUGGAGCAAUACCGCGUGCAGGAUGAAGGCCUUCGGGUCGUAAACUGCUUUUAUGUGCGAAGAAUUUGACGGUAACACAUGAAUAAGGAUCGGCUAACUACGUGCCAGCAGCCGCGGUCAUACGUAGGGUCCAAGCGUUAUCCGGAAUUACUGGGCGUAAAGAGUUGCGUAGGUGGCAUUAUAAGUGGAGCGUGAAAGCGUGCGGCUCAACCGCAUUAUUGCGUUCCAAACUGUGAAGCUUGAGUAUGGGAGAGGUAGAUGGAAUUUCUAGUGUAGGAGUGAAAUCCGUAGAUAUUAGAAGGAACACCGAUGGCGUAGGCAGUCUACUGGCCCAUUACUGACACUAAGGCACGAAAGCGUGGGGAGCAAACGGGAUUAGAUACCCCGGUAGUCCACGCUGUAAACUAUGGAUGCUAGCUGUGACACACAUCGACCUGUGUCGUAGCGAAGUUAACGCGUUAAGCAUCCCGCCUGGGGAGUACGGUCGCAAGAUUAAAACUCAAAAUGAAUUGACGG
rnacentral:rRNA from 1 species